UACGUAGGCAGCAAGCGUUGUUCGGAAUUACUGGGCGUAAAGAGUGUGUAGGCGGUGCUCUAAGUUCGGUGUGAAAUCUCCCGGCUCAACUGGGAGGGUGCGCCGAAAACUGGGGUACUGGAGCGCGGGAGAGGAAAGCGGAAUUCCUGGUGUAGCGGUGAAAUGCGCAGAUAUCGGGAGGAACACCAGUAGCGAAGGCGGCACUCUGGGCCGUGACUGACGCUGAGGAGCGAAAGCGUGGGUAGCAAACAGG
rnacentral:rRNA from 1 species